AAAAAAAUGCUUCCUUCCAUUCCAGUUCUCACCUUUUUUCUUUUUAUUUCUUCUUCCGUCCCUGCCAUCGCCGCAUCUGUGCACCAUUUUCUCUUCCCUGUUCCCCGCUUCUCCAGGCUCCAAGAUUGGUGAAAUCGUUUGUAUUGACGAUGGCUGCUUCUUCGUCGUCUUUCAAACCCUGCCGCCUGCCUAUCUCGGAGUUUCAUCCAUCAGACGAAUCCCGGAUGACCCUAACUGGGAGUCUGAAACUACGUUAGAGUUCGAGGACGACGAUGAACCCUGGGAAGGUGAAAGGGUUCGAUAUUCCUUCACUUCCUGAUAAUGGUAUGUGUGGUGGACUUGAACGGGUUUCCAGACGCUGCCUAUCUAGCGAUUAUCUUCGAGAAUGUGCUGAAGUUGGCAUCAAAGAUUUCAACUCUCAGAAUGUGUACUCCAUCUCUCUAAUCUAAUCUUACAGAUUUUGAAAGGGUACCGACUUUGAGUUUGUGGAGAUUGAAAAGGCUUGCAGUCAGGUUGUGUGUGGUUGUAUGUUCUAUCUCACUCUCAAGGUUAGGCCUCAGGGGAUGCCUUCUGAUUACCCAACCACUUCCCUUCAGGCCAAAGUUCUGUACGGAAUUGGGGAAAACAAUAUUACUACUGAAUUCUGCAGAUAUACAACUGAAGGAAAGUGACGCCUCUUGCUCUUCAUCUUGCUGCUACUGCUGCUGGUUUCUGAUCCUCACUCACAUGGUGAUGGCUUUAUAUAAGUAUUCUCAUACUACUAUGUUUAAUAUCUGAUUUCUAUGUUUAAUGUUUUUUUAUUGUUUAAAUCUUCACUCUCGAAGCUGGCCUUGUUCUCUCACUUUUAAGCUUAUAAUAACGAUCAUGUAGCAAAUGCUACAUGAUCGUGUAGCAUUUGCUACAAGAUUGCACAACAAGUUUGCUACACAAUCACUGCAGAGAGUUUGUUGAAGGGCGGUUCAAGGCCUAGUUCAGUGGAUGACUCUUAUGCUAGUAGCCUUUUAACUUUUUAUUUAAGGUGUUUUAUCUGUUAGAAAAAAAAAACGUGGAGGACAAAUAUGAAAAAUGAGAGAUAUAUUUUUCAUUCAACUAAGCAUGUCUUUAUAUAGGCUUACAAACAUAACCAUAGGAAUGCCAAUGGUUUAAAGCUAUAAAUAUCAUCAAAUGCUCAUAACUCACAUAACUCCUAUAACUCAAAAAUCACUAUUGGUUACAAAAAAGUAAAAGUCACUAAACCCAAAAGUCACACUAAAUGCCACAAAUAAAGUUUAAUAAUGACAAACUUUUCAACACCCCCUAAACUUGAUUUGUUACACCAAGUAAUCUCCUCGUGAAAAUGUCCGCCGCUUGGUCUUGUGACUUGAUAUAUUUGAGUUGCACUUCUUUCUUCGUAA